rnacentral:rRNA from 1 species
UGCAGUCGUACGAGAGUUUUUACUCAAGUGGCGGACGGGUGAGUAACACGUAAGAAUUUGCCUUUAGGAGGGGGACAACAACUGGAAACGGUUGCUAAUACCCCAUAUGCUUUCGAGUGAAACGGUUUUUCCGCCUAAAGAGAAGCUUGCGGCUGAUUAGCUUGUUGGUAAGGUAAUGGCUUACCAAGGCGACGAUCAGUAUCUGGUUUGAGAGGACGAUCAGACACACUGGAACUGAGACACGGUCCAGACUCCUACGGGAGGCAGCAGUGGGGAAUUUUCCGCAAUGGGCGAAAGCCUGACGGAGCAAUACCGCGUGAGGGAAGACGGCCUAUGGGUUGUAAACCUCUUUUCUCAGGGAGGAAUUCAAUGACGUGUACCUGAGGAAUAAGCACCGGCUAACUCCGUGCCAGCAGCCGCGGUAAUACG